GCGUGAGUGAAGAAGGCCCUUUGGGUUGUAAAGCUCUUUCAGUGGUGAAGAUAAUGACGGUAACCACAGAAGAAGCCCCGGCUAACUCCGUGCCAGCAGCCGCGGUAAUACGGAGGGGGCUAGCGUUGUCCGGAAUCACUGGGCGUAAAGCGCACGUAGGCGGAUUUUUAAGUCAGAGGUGAAAUCCCGGAGCUCAACUCCGGAACUGCCUUUGAUACUGGAAGUCUUGAGUUCGAGAGAGGUGAGUGGAAUUCCUAGUGUAGAGGUGAAAUUCGU
rnacentral:rRNA from 1 species